rnacentral:rRNA from 2 species
UGCAGUCGAGCGGACAGAUGGGAGCUUGCUCCCUGAUGUUAGCGGCGGACGGGUGAGUAACACGUGGGUAACCUGCCUGUAAGACUGGGAUAACUCCGGGAAACCGGGGCUAAUACCGGAUGCUUGAUUGAACCGCAUGGUUCAAUUAUAAAAGGUGGCUUUUAGCUACCACUUACAGAUGGACCCGCGGCGCAUUAGCUAGUUGGUGAGGUAACGGCUCACCAAGGCAACAAUGCGUAGCCAACCUGAGAGGGUGAUCGGCCACACUGGGACUGAAACACGGCCCAAACUCCUACGGGAGGCAGCAGUAGGGAAUCUUCCGCAAUGGACAAAAGUCUGACGGACCAACGCCCCGGGAGUGAUGAAGGUUUUCGGAUCGUAAAACUCUGUUGUUAGGGAAAAACAAGUACCGUUCGAAUAGGGCGGUACCUUGACGGUACCUAACCAAAAAGCCACGGCUAACUACGUGCCACCAGCCGCGGUAAUAC